GAAUUCAUUAUUAUAUAUAGAUUUCAAAUAAAUAAUAUAUCAAUCUCUCGUUGCAAACUAGAGAUUUAAUUGAUUUAAUAUUUCAAAAAUAUUUAUCACAUUUGUUUAUUUUUGUCUUUAAAUAUUAAAUUAAAAAUUAUCCAUAUAGAUGUAUCAUUAAACUAACAAUCUUUGAAUUGGUUAAAUUCAACGAUGUUAUUAACUAGUAUGACGCAUACAUUUCUUCGUUGAUGUAUUUGUAAGAGAAAGAGAAAGAGAGAGAAAGGGAGAGGCAUCCUUAGCACAUAUUGCCUUUGACAUAAUAUCGUUAUUUCAGAGAAGCUGAUUAAGAAGCGCUCGGUUUACGAUGUUUGCGGAACAUGUCAGUCUUCCUCUGGUCUCACCAAUAUGCGCAUGCACGCUGAAACUACGUGGGAGGAGCUGAAACAGAGUUCGAGCAGCUACCAAGGGAACUUCUCUCUGACGCCCCUCUCUUUAUAUACAAUUCAGGAUAGCUAUGUAUUUACUACGUACGUGUGUGUGAACUGCAUCAACCUAGGAUAUUCUAAAGAAGAAACGAACGCCUUCCCGAUCGUUUAAUAUUUGCACCAAUGAAAAUUCGACGAUGGAUUAAAAAUCAUAGAAGAUAUUUUAUAUUCGGCUUGAAAUCACAAUUUGUUGGAUUUCGUAGAAAAUUUUCCGAGGAAAUCUCGCAUGGGAAAAUUUCGUUUAUACGAGCUUACCUUCUUCUUCUCAAAAAAAAAAAAAAAAAAAA